GUGCACAAGCACAAGCACAACAAAUUUUGAAAAGGACCAACGGUUUUUCAAAUGAGUUUCGUAGUCUGUAAUUUUUGUGAUUUUAUCCAGGAAAUAAUAGGAGCUGUGGUGAUGGAAUUUUCCAACACAAAAGAAAAAUACAUAGAAGCAGUAUGGUAAUCAAAUACUGGCUGAAGUCUCCAAAAACUCGGUUUACCAGCAAUGAGAAAUCUAAAAAUGUUCAAACACCGGAUCCUGGAGGAAAAUCUGAAUGCUACAAAAAUUGAGACUGACUUGAGGUGCAGUAACAUAAACCAGUAUGUAGCUCAAAAAAUUGCUACUUAAAACAGGAAGAGAUUAGAGUAUUCUGGAGCACCACAAUAAGGACC
rnacentral:lncRNA from 1 species